rnacentral:pre_miRNA from 1 species
AGAAACUUGGAAACUACCGUUGGAUCGAGAAAUGGACGUCUGAGAUUCAUCCACGUCAUCGUGAGUUAAAAUUUAACUCCCAGUAAAAUUUUAACUCAUGAGUGAAUCCGCGAGUUAAAUUUUAACUCAAGGUGACGUGGAAGAAUUUCAGACGUCCAUUUCUCGAUCCAACUGUAGUUUCCAAGUUUCC